GUCGGGAUAGCUCAGCAGU
rnacentral:tRNA from 1 species